CAAAUAAUAUUUUUUGUUGAUUACUGAAUUGAAUAAGUCAGAAGUUAUUCUUUUUCUACAAACAAAUUAGUCUAAACAAUUUAACUAAUAAAGCAUUUCAUGUUCAUGUUGCACCCAUCUGUAAAACAAUAUGCCAAAACAGAAGAUCCCUGUUAACUUUCACAUAAGUUCCAUUACUGUCUGCAAAUAUUACUUAAUUUAAUUGUUCAGUUUUGAGCUACUUGUUUGGCCAUGGGAUUAUUAGUGUUUCAAAGGUUUUUUAUUGCCUCCCUUGUUUUUAUAUUUAAAAUAUUUAAUAUUUCUGUCUGCAUAUCUAAUCUGGUAUUAUCUGCAAGAAACAAUGAAAGUGGACGAAUGGUGCUAAAUCAAACCUUUACAAUUGAACCAAUGCUGACUAUUGGCAGCAUCAACCCUGUGAUGUGGAAUGACGACUGGACAGUUGUAACGGAAGAUGGAAGCCUUUCUGCACAGUUUGAACACACCAUUCUGAUAACUCCUGACGGGGCUGAGAUUAUGACUGAAUGCUGAAUGAUGCAACAUUUAUUAUUCGUGGAAACCACAUGGAAAACUUCAUUAUUUAGAUGCAAUUGAUUUCAAAAAGUUUUUGCUGGAACUUACCCUAGGUGGGUGGGGGUGGGGGGGGAACUGUUUCAUUUUUUUUGUGUAAUCUGUUUUCCUGUUUGUAUCUGUAACAUAGUUUAUGCUGUCUUCCGUGCUCCAAUUGAUAAUUAUACAUAUUCUUUCGUUAUAUAUUUGUUUGCUUGAGGUGCA